AAGAAAGCGAAAAAAGAAGAAUGGCGGCAACAAUGACGAUGAAGAUGAGGAAAUCAUCGAAGAGGAGGAGAUCGAUGAGAUGGAAAGUGAAAACGAAGAAUAUGACCUGCCGUUCGAUGGUGAGGAGGAGGAUAUAGAUGGAGAAGAUGAAGAGGGCGAAGACGAAGAAAACGAAGGCGAAGAAGAGGGCAAUCAGGUGUUAUAAUAAUAUAAUUAGUCAGACACAAAGCAAAAUAAGAGUUUUUCUUAUUUUUUUUAUUUUAAAGAAACAAGAUUUUUGUUCUUUUAAAAUUAAGAUUUAAUAUAUUAAAAAAAAA